CCUACGGGAUGCAGCAGUGGGGAAUUUUGGACAAUGGGCGCAAGCCUGAUCCAGCUAUUCCGCGUGUGGGAAGACGGCCUUCGGGUUGUAAACCACUUUUGUAGAGAACGAAAAGUCUGUUGAUAAUACCGAUAGAUGAUGACGGUACUCUAAGAAUAAGCACCGGCUAACUACGUGCCAGCAGCCGCGGUAAUACGUAGGGUGCGAGCGUUAAUCGGAAUUACUGGGCGUAAAGGGUGUGCAGGCGGUUUUGCAAGAUGGAUGUGAAAGCCCCGGGCUUAACCUGGGAAAGCCAUACAUGACUGCAAGACUAGAGUGCGUCAGAGGGGGGUGGAAGUCCAAGUGUAGCAGUGAAAUGCGUAGAUAUUUGGAAGAACACCGAUGGCGAAGGCAGCCCCCUGGGACGCAACUGACGCUCAUACACGAAAGCGUGGGGAGCAAACAGGAUUAGAUACCCGAGUAGUC
rnacentral:rRNA from 1 species